GUGAAAGAGGAAACUUGGAUACCACAUGUGGAAAUGACAAAAGUGGGAUAUGAACCUCGAUUAACUAGCACAUAAAGAGUGCUGUUCCCUGAAAAAAACUGUUGGAUUCAUUUAGAUUAGCCCCUUAGAGAGCACAACAUGUAUCCAUCUGUGUAACUUCCUUAUGAAACUACAGGUAUGUGCUGGAACUGUAUCUUCUACAAACAAGAGUACUAAUAGGACAAAAAUUGGAAGCAAUAUGCAGCCAUUUCCAACAAAUGAGCAGCCCACAUAUUAGAUGGCAACAUCAAGGAUAGAAAACUUUAGGAAGAUAAAGGCCUGGGAAGUAGAUUAGCUGUGGCUUUCGCCUGGAUGUGGCUUCAUGGAGUUACAUAUGCCACUGAGAAUUCCCGAGUGACAAAGUGAUCAAAUCCAGGCAAAGGAAAAAAGGAAAGGUGCAGCUUACCCCUCGAAGCAGUGGGCAACUGUCAGAACCCACUUCUUGGCAAUGAGGACACAGCCACAGAUAUGUCCACUGGGUUCACUCUGCAGAGAACACUGCCAUGGCCACCUUCCAGGGCGACUCGUCCGACCUCCAAGGAUCCUUUUGUUCAUUCGGGCAGCAGGGCGGCGCCCACAGUCUACCAAGGAGCAGAAGACACAGUUUAAGUUCUGAAUGCAGAGGCAAAGUGAGAUGGAAAGUAUAAAAGUCAGAAGCCACACAUACUGGUCAUGGUGUUUCUCCUGAUAACCUGCAUCCUGAGAAUUCCCUUCUGCAAUAGAACUACCUAUGGACCUCCUAAAUCCAGGUAAAGCCAAAAGAAGAUAAACUUUUAAAUUUUGUUAUUUAAUCAGGUCAUUCUUAAAUCAGGUAUUCAUAGGGCAACAAGAUACUUGCAUGGGGAGUGCAAUUAGGAGAGAGUGUGCACUGAUGCUGGAUAGGAAAAUCAUUGCAAGGAACACCAGCCUUUCAACUCAAAAGGCCCCCAGCUGCCCUGAGGAAG